rnacentral:rRNA from 1 species
GAUGAACGCUGGCGGCGUGCCUAAUACAUGCAAGUCGAGCGAACGGACGAGAAGCUUGCUUCUCUGAUGUUAGCGGCGGACGGGCGAGUAACACGUGGAUAACCUACCUCUAAGACUGGGAUAACUUCGUGAAACCGGAGCUAAUACCGGAUCAUAUUUUGAACCGCAUGGUUCAAAAGUUCAAGACGGUCUUGCUGUCACUUAUAGAUGGAUCCGCGCUGCAUUAGCUAGUUGGUAAGGUAACGGCUUACCAAGGCAACGAUGCAUAGCCGACCUGAGAGGGUGAUCGGCCACACUGGAACUGAGACACGGUCCAGACUCCUACGGGAGGCAGCAGUAGGGAAUCUUCCGCAAUGGGCGAAAGCCUGACGGAGCAACGCCGCGUGAGUGAUGAAGGUCUUCGGAUCGUAAAACUCUGUUAUUAGGGAAGAACAUAUGUGUAAGUAACUGUGCACAUCUUGACGGUACCUAAUCAGAAAGCCACGGCUAACUACGUG